UGCAGUCGUGCGAGAAAGUUCUUCGGAUAUGAGUAGAGCGGCGGACGGGUGAGUAACGCGUAGGAAUCUACCUAGUAGAAGGGGAUAGCCCGGGGAAACCCGGAUUAAUACCGUAUACCUCCUUUGGGAGAAAGAAGGCCUCUCUUUGAAGCUUUCGCUACUAGAUGAGCCUGCGUAAGAUUAGCUUGUUGGUGAGGUAAAGGCUCACCAAGGCGACGAUCUUUAGCUGGUCUGAGAGGACGAUCAGCCACAUUGGGACUGAGACACGGCCCAGACUCCUACGGGAGGCAGCAGUGGGGAAUAUUGGACAAUGGGCGCAAGCCUGAUCCAGCCAUACCGCGUGUGUGAAGAAGGCCUUCGGGUUGUAAAGCACUUUAAGCAGGGAGAAAAAGUUGUAAGUUAAUACCUUAUAACCCUGAUGUUACCUGCAGAAUAAGCACCGGCUAAUUCCGUGCCAGCAGCCGCGGUAAUACGGAAGGUGCAAGCGUUAAUCGGAAUUACUGGGCGUAAAGCGCGCGUAGGUGGUUUGUUAAGUUGGAUGUGAAAGCCCUGGGCUCAACCUAGGAACUGCAUCCAAAACUAACUCACUAGAGUACGAUAGAGGGAGGUAGAAUUCAUAGUGUAGCGGUGGAAUGCGUAGAUAUUAUGAAGAAUACCAGUGGCGAAGGCGGCCUCCUGGAUCUGUACUGACACUGAGGUGCGAAAGCGUGGGUAGCGAACAGGAUUAGAUACCCUGGUAGUCCACGCCGUAAACGAUGACAACUAGCUGUUGGGAGACAAUGUCUUUCAGUGGCGCAGCUAACGUUUUAAGUUGUCCGCCUGGGGAGUACGGCCGC
rnacentral:rRNA from 1 species